UCUCAGCGCCUUUUCUUUCCCCGCUCCAGCUCUCUUGAGCUCCAGGCCUACUCUGAUGCAACCUGGGCUAGUGAUCCCUCUGAUCGACGCUCGCUGUCUACUUAUUGUGUCUUUCUUGGUGGCUCUCUUAUUGCCUGGAAGACAAAGAAGCAGACUGCCGUUUCUCGUUCGAGUACAGAGGCUGAGUUGCGAGCCAUGGCUAUGUUGACGGCUGAGGUGAUCUGGUUACGGUGGUUACUUGAGGAUUUUGGUGUGUCUGCCACUACCUCGACUCCCUUACUGUCCGACAGUACCGGUGCUAUUAGUAUCGCGCGU
rnacentral:rRNA from 1 species